UGUCCGUUAGCUCAGUUGGUAGAGCGCCAGUCCCACUUGUAUGUUUACAAGCUGGAAGUCACAGGUUCGAGUCCUGUACGGGCUA